ACAAGGCAUGUUUGGCAGCAAU
rnacentral:miRNA from 1 species